rnacentral:rRNA from 1 species
CAGUAGCCACGGUAAUACGUAGGGUGCGAGCGUUAAUCGGAAUUACUGGGCGUAAAGCGUGCGCAGGCGGUUUUGUAAGACAGGCGUGAAAUCCCCGGGCUCAACCUGGGAAUGGUGCUUGUGACUGCAAAGCUAGAGUGCGGCAGAGGGGGAUGGAAUUCCGCGUGUAGCAGUGAAAUGCGUAGAUAUGCGGAGGAACACCGAUGGCGAAGGCAAUCCCCUGGGCCUGCACUGACGCUCAUGCACGAAAGCGUGGGGAGCAAACAGGAUUAGAUACCCGAGUAGUCCCUGUCUCUUAUAC